AAUGAUUGACAGGUCCUAUGGAGGAGGCAGCAGAGACUCUGCACUCCUCGUUUGGAUUAAUUCUGAUAUAAUAACUGUUGGUUUAUUUAUCAGUGGAGCAGCAUAACAUUUUCCACAGACAGUUUUCCUGCCCGUUGGCUUGUUUUAACCAGUUUUCUACCUUCAGCUGAUUCUACCAGCAGACACUGAAAGGACUCUGAUAGUUCGAGUGAAAGUAGCAGUUCCUCCUUAAGGUCAGAGAUUGCAGCAUCUGAGGGCCUCUUCAAAAGAAGACGUAGUUGAUGAAGGCGUUCUGGAGCAGGACCAGAAAGACCACGACCAAGCAGCCUUGAGAUCUUAGACAGCGUCUCCCUCAGUUCUGCCGGGCCAGCUCAGCUUCCCCUCAGAAGAAGUGGCGCCACCUGCCAGAUGAAGGAGCCUUUUGAGAGGCAGCUGGCAUCGUGAUUGGACUGUACUUUGGUCUGUUCCAAUCCAGCUUCAGCUCCAGAGACGGCAGGCGGGACGAGUCAAUGGAGGCCGGGUGGACGAAGGCAUGCAGCUGAGUAGAAAAAAAAUGCGAUUUUUCAACAUGUUGUAAAAACGUGCCAUAUGAUGAAAUAAUGUAAAGGAGGCUUUGAAAAACACUCCAGAAAGGUUUUCUUUGAAAAAAAAAAAUCAUCAUGAAUUUUGGUGCAAAAAAACGCCAUAGUAUACUAUGUAGAAAAAUGUCAUUUUUCAACAUGUUGUAAAAACAUGCCAUAUGAUGAAAUAAUGUAAAGCAGGCUGUGAAAAACACUCCAGAAAGUUUUCUUUGAAAAAAAAAUCAUCAUGAAUUUUGGUGCAAAAAAAUGCCAUAGUAUACUAUGUCGAAAAAAAAAUGCGAUUUUUCAAACAUGUUGUAAAAACGUGCCAUAUGAUGAAAUAAUGUAAAGGAGGCUGUGAAAAACACUAUGGUAAGGUUUUCUUUGAGAAAAAAAUCAUCAUGAAUUUUGGCGCGAAAAAAUGCCAUAGGAUACUAUGUCCAAAAAUGUCAUUUUUCAACACUAAAUCUUAUUGAAAAAUAUGUUUUACUUAAGUCCACCUGUUUCAGUCAUUUCUACCCCUCAUUAGGUACCACUCUAAGGUACAUUAUACAAAAAAAAGUCCAGUAGAUGUCACUUUGUUUUGAAACAGCAUGCAGAGCAAGUUAGUCUGCACACAGGAAGUUAGCACGAGCAAAAUCACUCCUCACAUGAGGCCUCUGUUUGCUGUGAUUUUCAAAGGUAAAGUAAUACUUUUGGCAUAUUAUG